rnacentral:rRNA from 1 species
AAUAGAUACCCGGGUAGUCCACGCCGUAAACGGUGGGCGCUAGGUGUGGGGGACUUUCCACGUCCUCUGUGCCGCAGCUAACGCAUUAAGCGCCCCGCCUGGGGAGUACGGCCGCAAGGCUAAAACUCAAAGGAAUUGACGGGGGCCCGCACAAGCGGCGGAGCAUGUGGCUUAAUUCGACGCAACGCGAAGAACCUUACCAAGGCUUGACAUGCAGAGAAAUCUCGUAGAGAUACGGGGUCCGCAAGGGCUUUGCACAGGUGGUGCAUGGUUGUCGUCAGCUCGUGUCGUGAGAUGUUGGGUUAAGUCCCGCAACGAGCGCAACCCUUGUCCUAUGUUGCCAGCGAGUAAUGUCGGGGACUCAUAGGAGACUGCCGGGGUCAACUCGGAGGAAGGUGGGGAUGACGUCAAAUCAUCAUGCCCCUUAUGUCUUGGGCUGCACACAUGCUACAAUGGUCGGUACAAAGGGCUGCGAGACCGCAAGGUGGAGCGAAUCCCAAAAAGCCGGCCUCAGUUCGGAUUAGGGUCUGCAAC